UUAGAAGGGACACAGAGAGCAAGAAACAAGAUAAAGCAUUCCCCCCUUUGCCUUUAAAAUGAUGUGGUUAAGAAAACAAGAAGAGCUUAUUCUUGCAUAUAGGAAGAGGCAACAGGAAGUGUGAAUGAGGAGCACGAAUGUGGAAAGUAAAGCACUUUACAAAGGAAGGCAGCUGUGAAUUUUCCAUUUGCAGUGUUUGUUUAUUUUGGCUCCUGUCAUCACUGCCAUGAUUGCCCCGGGAAGAAUUCCCCAGUGGAAACAUCAACAAGAGAAACAGCAGAACUUACUUCCUUUCCUUUUACUGAGGAAAGAAAAUCCCCCCUUGGGAGAUAAACUUCCUUAAAAACAAAGAACAAGUGAAUUCACAUAGGGGACAUGCAAUGUACAUGAGACUGCAUGAAGAAAUAUAUUUAAUAUAAAUAAAUCUCAAACAUCUACAGAGACUGCA
rnacentral:lncRNA from 1 species